rnacentral:misc_RNA from 1 species
GAUGAAGAACGCAGCGAAAUGCGUUAAGUAAUGUGAAUUGCAGAAUUCAGUGAAUCAUCGAAUCUUUGAACGCACAUUGCGCCCGCCAGUAUUCUGGCGGGCAUGCCUGUUCGAGCGUCAUUUCAACCAUCAAGCCCCCGGCUUGUGUUGGGGACCUGCGGCUGCCGCAGGCCCUGAAAACCAGUGGCGGGCUCGCUAGUCACUCCGAGCGUAGUAAUACAUCUCGCUCAGGGCGUGCUGCGGGUUCCGGCCGUUAAAAAGCCUUAUUUACCCAAGGUUGACCUCGGAUCAGGUAGGAAGACCCGCUGAACUUAAGCAUAUCAAUAAGCGGAGGA